rnacentral:rRNA from 1 species
GACGAACGCUGGCGGCGUGCCUAACACAUGCAAGUCGAGCGAACGGACCAGAAGUUUGCUUCUCUGAUGUUAUCGGCGGACGGGAGAGUCACAUGUGGACAACCUACCUAUCAGACUGGGAUAAUUUCGGGAAACCGGAUCUAAUAACGGAUAAUAUUUUGAACCGCAUUGUUCACAAGUGAAAGUCGGUCUUGCUGUCACUUAUAGAUGGAUCCGCGCUGCAUUAGCUAGUUGGUAAGGUAACGGCUUACCAAGGCAACGAGGCAUAGCCGACCUCAGCGGGUGAUCGGACACACGGGAGGUGAGACUGGGUCGAGACUCCUGCGGUAGGACGCAGUCGGGAAUCUUACGCGAUGGAGGAGAGCCGGACAGAGCAACGCGGCGUGAGUGAUGAAGGAGUACGGAUCGGAAAGCUCUGUUAGUAGGGGGGAACAUAUGUGUAAGUAACUGUGCAGAUAUUGACGGUACCGGGUCAAAAAGCCACGGCUAACUACGUG